rnacentral:rRNA from 1 species
AGGACGAACGCUGGCGGCGCGCCUCAUACAUGCAAGUCGAGCGAGAAAUCCGGGGCUUGCCCCGGGUGGAGAGCGGCGAACGGGUGAGGAACACGUGAGGAACCUGCCCCGAAGACCGGGAUAACACCGGGAAACCGGUGCUAAUACCGGAUGCCCUCACCGGAUCACAAGAUGCGGUGAGGAAAUGGAUUCCGCUUCGGGAUGGUCUCGCGGCCUAUCAGCUUGUUGGUGGGGUAACGGCCUACCAAGGCUUCGACGGGUAGCUGGUCUGAGAGGAUGUCCAGCCACACUGGGACUGAGACACGGCCCAGACUCCUACGGGAGGCAGCAGUAGGGAAUCUUGCGCAAUGGGCGAAAGCCUGACGCAGCGACGCCGCGUGCGGGAUGAAGGCCUUCGGGUCGUAAACCGCUUUCAGCAGGGACGAAAUUGACGGUACCUUCAGAAGAAGCCCCGGCUAACUACGUGCCAGCAGCCGCGGUAAUACGUAGGGGGCAAGCGUUGUCCGGAAUUAUUGGGCGUAAAGAGCGUGUAGGCGGCUUGGUAAGUCUGGUGUGAAACCUUGGGGCUUAACCCCAAGCCUGCACUGGAUACUGCCUCGCUAGAGUCCGGGAGGGGAGAGCGGAAUUCCCAGUGUAGCGGUGAAAUGCGCAGAUAUUGGGAAGAACACCAGUGGCGAAAGCGGCUCUCUGGAACGGUACUGACGCUGAGACGCGAAAGCGUGGGGAGCGAACAGGAUUAGAUACCCUGGUAGUCCACGCCGUAAACGAUGGGCACUAGAUGUGGGCGGUGUCGACUCCGCCCGUGUCGAAGCUAACGCAUUAAGUGCCCGCCUGGGGAGUACGGCCGCAAGGCUAAA